AUGUUCGUUGCCAACUUUACCUACUUGAUAACCUUAAACCUCUCAUUCAAUAGUCUAGAAGAGCAAAUACCCCAGGGAGGUGUUUUCUCAAACCUCUCCUCAGAAUCUUUGAUUGGCAGCGUCGGGCUAUGUGCGGCCACACACCUAAGAUUUCCGCCAUGCCUAUACAGAUCUACCUCAAGUAAAAGACACUUGCUUCAAUUUAUACUCCCAAUAAUUUCUUUAGCAUUUGGCAUCGUAGCCAUUUUUUUAUACCUAUGGACUCAAAAGAAACUUCGGGAAGGAGCUGAAAAAGCUUCCUUUGAUCCAACUGAUGCCAUAGGGCAUCAUAUGGUCUCCUGUCGUGAGCUCAUCCAGGCAACCGAUAAUUUUAGUGAAGAUAGCAUCAUAGGAUCUGGAAGCUUUGGAAAAGUUUUCAAGGGAAGACUAAGCAAUGGCUUGGUUGUGGCAAUAAAAGUUCUUGGCAUGCGGCUAGAGCAGGCCAUCCGAAGUUUUGAUGUCGAGUGUCAAGUGUUACGCAUGGUGCGACACCGCAACCUGGUAAAGGUACUCAACACAUGUUCCAAUCUUGACUUCAGAGCACUAGUGCUUCAGUACAUGCCCAAUGGAAACUUAGAGAUGCUCCUACACCAGUCUCAGAGUACAGGGUGCUUGGAUUUCUUGAGAGGUUGGGAAUCAUGCUCGAUGUGCCGAUGGCAAUGA
rnacentral:rRNA from 1 species